rnacentral:rRNA from 1 species
GACGAACGCUGGCGGCGUGCCUAAUACAUGCAAGUCGAGCGCAGGAAACUGACGGAACUCUUCGGAGGGAAGGCAGUGGAAUGAGCGGCGGACGGGUGAGUAACACGUAAGGAACCUGCCUCAAGGAUUGGGAUAACUCCGAGAAAUCGGAGCUAAUACCGGAUAGUUCAACGGACCGCAUGGUCCGGUGAUGAAAGGCGCUCCGGCGUCACCUUGAGAUGGCCUUGCGGUGCAUUAGCUAGUUGGUGGGGUAACGGCCCACCAAGGCGACGAUGCAUAGCCGACCUGAGAGGGUGAUCGGCCACACUGGGACUGAGACACGGCCCAGACUCCUACGGGAGGCAGCAGUAGGGAAUCUUCCGCAAUGGACGAAAGUCUGAUGGAGCAACGCCGCGUGAGUGAUGAAGGUUUUCGGAUCGUAAAACUCUGUUGUAAGGGAAGAACACGUACGAGAGGGAAUGCUCGUACCUUGACGGUACCCUACGAGAAAGCCACGGCUAACUACGUGCCAGCAGCCGCAGUAAGAC